rnacentral:rRNA from 1 species
UACGGGGGGGGCAAGCGCUGUUCGGAAUUACUGGGCGUAAAGGGCUCGUAGGCGGCCAACUAAGUCGGAUGUGAAAUCCCCAGGCUUAACCUGGGAACUGCAUCCGAUACUGGAUGGCUUGAAUCCGGUAGAGGGAUGCAGAAUUCCAGGUGUAGCGGUGAAAUGCGUAGAUAUCUGGAGGAAUACCGGUGGCGAAGGCGGCAUCCUGGACCGGCAUUGACGCUGAGGAGCGAAAGCUAGGGGAGCAAACGGG